AUGAAACAGCGUAAUGAUCAGUGUGUUGAAGUACUAUUGGUCUUAUGUCGCAUGAAAUGCAAUUUUUAUUAACUUCAUCACUUACUAAAAAAUAAUCAAUUCUUGUAGAUUCUGAAAAGUUUUUUCUUCUCCAGGUAAAUUGGGUUUUAUUUAUGUUUUUGCCUCUCCAGACAUCGGUUAGUUUUAGAUUCUUAAUCAAUGUCUUGAGGUUAUGAACUGGUUUAUCAAAUUUUUUAUUUCCUAAUUUUUUCUUGGUAUCUUUUAUAGAUAAUAUGUCAUUGAAGUCACCCCCAAUUAUUAACUGGCCAAUACUAUGAUCUUCAAUUAAUUGUUUUACUGAUUUAAAAAAAAUAUUUCUUGUUUUACAAUUAUUAGGUGCAUAUAGGUUCACUAAGGUGUAUAUAUUGUCAUCUAUUUCUAUAUUAACUAGUAUGAAUCUACCUUCUGAGUCUUUAUAUUGGUCAAUAAGCUUGUAGUUUAAUCUGCUUUUUAUCCAUAUAGCCACCCCUCUUGCAUUACUUAACCCAUUAUUUAAAAUUAAUUCACCUUUGAAUUCUUGUUUUAACUUUGAUUCUAAGGUGUAAGUAAAAUGAGUUUCUUGUAGGAAUACUAUAUUACAUUUUUGUUGAUUAGCCCAUUCAAUAAUUCUGUUUCUUUUUUCAGAUUUUUGUAACCCGUUGGUAUUUACGGUGCAGACAUGGAUACAGUUUUUAUGUAUCAUAUUGUAUUAUUAUUAAGAAGGUGUACUUUAUCCUUUUGAGGUUUGGUGUAUGGAUUCACAGAUGAUAAUCCCAUAUCCGCUUUAACCAAAACUAUUGAAGGAUUUAUUACAAUUAUAUAGGAAAGAGUUAGUUUCCGACAAGCUUUUUGAAAACAUAUAUGUGAAGUGAAUGUACAUAUGCAGCUUUGCAAUAAGUGAUAAAAAAAGACACAAAGAAUUUUAAUAAUAAAGAAAAGAUCUAAAGAUGUUGAGAUUGUGCACACGCUGCUUACCACUGGAUGUGAGAAAUUGUACAUAGUUACAAAAGGAUUGUAAAUUACUAAUAAGAGAGGAGAUAUUUAGUUGUGAUUAUAUAGACUGAUAAUUGAGUGAUAUAGAAUUAAAUGAUGACUUAUAGUUUUAUGGUCUAUUAAUUUUUGAAUUGUGGUUAAAUGAUACCUGUAAUGAUAAUAAAAUAUUAAUUUAAUACAUCAUUAUAUUCAUA